rnacentral:rRNA from 1 species
UGGGGAAUAUUGCACAAUGGGCGCAAGCCUGAUGCAGCCAUGCCGCGUGUAUGAAGAAGGCCUUCGGGUUGUAAAGUACUUUCAGCGAGGAGGAAGGCGGUAAGGUUAAUAACCUUAUCGAUUGACGUUACUCGCAGAAGAAGCACCGGCUAACUCCGUGCCAGCAGACGCGGUAAUACGGAGGGUGCAAGCGUUAAUCGGAAUUACUGGGCGUAAAGCGCACGCAGGCGGUCUGUCAAGUCGGAUGUGAAAUCCCCGGGCUCAACCUGGGAACUGCAUUCGAAACUGGCAGGCUAGAGUCUUGUAGAGGGGGGUAGAAUUCCAGGUGUAGCGGUGAAAUGCGUAGAGAUCUGGAGGAAUACCGGUGGCGAAGGCGGCCCCCUGGACAAAGACUGACGCUCAGGUGCGAAAGCGUGGGGAGCAAACA